rnacentral:misc_RNA from 1 species
GAUGAAGAACGCAGCGAAAUGCGAUAAGUAGUGUGAAUUGCAGAAUUCAGUGAAUCAUCGAAUCUUUGAACGCACAUUGCGCCUCCUGGUAUUCCGGGAGGCAUGUCUGUUCGAGCGUCAUUAAAAUCACUCAAGCUUAGGUUUACCUAUUGCUUGGUCUUGGAGAUGGAAGCCAAUUUAUUGGAAUCCUCUUCGAAAUUCAAUGGCGAAGACCCUUGCUCUCCCAAGUGUAGUAAUAACUUAUGUCACUGAAGGAAGCGAGAAAUCUUCUGCCGUAACCCCCAUAUUUUCUAUGAUUGACCUCGGAUCAGGUAGGGAUACCCGCUGAACUUAAGCAUAUCAAUAAGCGGAGGA